rnacentral:lncRNA from 10 species
AGGAUGCUGCUGAGGAAUUCUGGAGUCCGUACUAGGAAAUUUUAAGAAACUUUGUUUGAAACUGGCAAAGAAGAUUUGUAAAUACACUUGUUAUCUAUUCAAGAAUACACAAUCUCAGAGGACAACAUAUGACUAAGGGCAACACUACCAAGAAUGAUUGUUACUAAUAAUACAUCCCUUGAGGGGCAUCUAAAUUUAGGUUCAAAAAAAAGUCAUAAGUUAGGACAGCUUUUUGGCCUUUUAAUAGUUUUAUUAAUAUAUUUAGAAAAACAAUCCCUUAAAACAUUGGUCUAGAUGAUAUUUUAACACAUACGCUUAAUGAAAAUAUGUAUAUACAUAUAAUGUUUUAAUUAGGUUCCUAUGUUUCAGAUGCCUUUUGUCUCUAUUUUUUUAAUCAUUAUUUUUUUAGAGAUGGGAUCUUGUUACAUUGCCCAGGCUGGUCUUGAACUCCUGGGAUCAAGCGAUCCUCCUGCCUUGGCCUCCCAAAGUGCUGGGAUUAUAGGCAUGAACCAACGUGCCCAGCCUCAGAUGCCUUUUGGAUGGUAUAUCACUAACUAAAAAUUAAGUGCCUUGAUAUUAUAAAAUUCUAAAUUUUUUCCUAUUUAAAACAAUCAUACAGCACUUUGGGAGGUUGAGGCAGGAGGACUGCUUGAGCCCAGGCAUCUGAGACCAGUCUGGCCAACAUAGUGAGACACUAUCUCUACAGAAAAAUUUUAAAACUUAGCCAGGUGUGGUCAUGCCCACCUGUGGUCCUAGCUACUUGGGAGGUUAAGGCAAGAGGAUCACUUGAGCUCAGGAGGUUGAGGCUUCGGUGAGCUAUGAUCACAUGCCUGCACUCCAACCUGAGCAACAGAGUGAGACUCUCCCUUAAAAAGAUAAAAAAUCACAUUCUUAGUUAAGUCCCUAGUGAUAUAUAUAUAAAUUUUUCUAGAAUAACCAGCAUGUGUGAGGGAGUUUUGCUUUUUAUUAUAAAAUGAAAUGGCUUAUUCAGAACCUCGAUCCCUACCCUGGGAAAAGGAGAAAAUCUGACAGACUGCAAGAACAAAACUGCCUUCAGUGUUUUUCCCAUUUCUACAUUUCCCAUUGCUUUUUGAUGCUAAAAUAUCUGCAUUAAAAAGCAACAGAUGGCCUGAUGUUAUCUGAGGUAUUUAGAGUUGUGGCAAUCUCUUGCCUCUCCUUCAGGCUAACAACAACAAAAAAAUCAUAGCUUAUCUGGGAUUUGAUGUAUAACAUCUCAAUUAAUUUAUAUUAUACUUAAUGUAAAAUAACCACCCUUAGCCAAACCAGGUUUCAGUUACUUUCAUAGUGGUCAAAUUAUAUAAUCAUACUCUGAGAUAGUUUAUAUGUAAAUAUAAUUAAAAACUUAACUUGCAAUUUUAGACAAUUUAUUGCUUGUUGGUAUUUUCACUAAAAAUAGUCUCAAUUAAUGACCUGUAUCUAUGAAUAAGAAUUCUAAGUUUUAUGUACUAAAUCAAAACAAGAAAUACUACUAUAAUAACAUCAUUAUUUGUACACUCUAAUUUACUUAAACUUCUUGAUUUAUUUAAUUGUAUUCUUAGCAUUUUUUAAAGUACCAAUCCUAAGAUUCAUUCAUUCAAUCAACAAACAAACAUUGGCAAUCUACUAUAUAGAAGGCACUAAGCCAGGCACUGGGGAUACAGUGGAGAAGCGGAAAGAGACCCCUGACCCUCACAGAACUUACAUUCUGGGAAGAGAGAUAGACAAUAAAUAAUUACAAAGUAAAUUACAACUGGAAUAAGUAUAACUGGAAUAUGUAACAAGGGGACUUAACAUAGAUUGAAAAUACACAAAAGAUUUAAAUACAUCACAAACAUUAGGAGGCUGUCCUAAAAGGUGAAAAAAGAUUACCACCUUCCUUUUUGUAAUAGAAUGCUUCUAUUAGAAAAAAAACUAUGAAAUAAAAAGUAAUUAGAAAGCUUUUUCAAUAUCUUGAACUAAAACAUAUUGACCUUAAAAUUAAUUCAUUGUUUUCCCCUGCAAUUCAUAAAAUUACAUUGGGAUCACACAAAAAUGAUUUAAACUCAUCGCUACACACUUUUUUCUUGGACCUCCAUCUUCAGUCCCCCUAGACUACCACCCUGUUCUUCUUCAACCAACUUUUCUCUGCCCAGCUCACUCUCUGAAUAGGAGAGACUCACUCAAGACUAUUCACUCCCACUUUACGUACGUUAUUGCUGGGUAAAGGGCAAAUCUAUAUUUGCCCAACUUCUAUUUCAAUUUUCCCUCACCCUUUAAAGUCUUCAAUAAACUGGAGAAACAACAACAAAAAAAAUGUGACUACUUAACCAAACAAUCUGUUACCAAAAAGACUUCCAAAGACAGUUAAUCUUUUAUAUAUAGGAAGGAAAAUCAUUUUUUUCCCAUAAUCCUUAUUUUUUGGCACCAAUCCAGUCAUAUUUUUUAAAUCACUCUCUCUGAUCACCUAGGCCAAACAAUUUCUUAGACAACAGGUCAGGGCACCACUAACAACACUCAUAGCAUUCAUUCUUUUAUUCAACAAUUAUUUAUUGGACACUUAGUAUAUACGAGGUAGCAUUGUCCAACAGAAUUUUGUGAUGAUAGUAAUGUUUAUGUCUACACUGUCCAAUAUGGUACCCAUUAGCCACAUGUGGCUAUGGAGCACUUGAAAUGUGGUGUGACUGAGGAACUGAAUUUUAAAUUCUACUUGAUUUUGAUUAAAUUUAAAUGUAGACACCUGCAUGUGGCUGGUGGCUACUGUGUUGGACAGAGCAAGUCUAAGUAAAUUUUUGGCUCUACGACUUUAUUAAGUCAGUACCUUAAUGCAGCUGAACAAUCCUGCCAAAAAUAGUGUCUAUUUAGAAAGUGGCUAACAUAUGGAUAUUUUGUUUUAUUCAGUCUAACACUAUAUUAAAAUUAACUUUUCAGAGAAUCACAGAAUUCUGGAGGGACAAGACAAAAAUUAUUUAAUCCAGCCCCAUUUAACAAAAAAAGAAAACUGAGGCCAGAAAGCAUGAACAACUUGCUCAACAUAAUAAUUCAUUAGCGGGACUGAUGAGUUAGAAUCCAGUUGUUAAGAGAACCAAAUUUUUCAGAUAUUUGAUCCAGGAUCUUCUCCUCCUAUUGCAAACAGUGAUAAUGAUAGAGACAUACAUAUAUAUUAAAAGAUAAGAGCCAUACCGAUGUACUGGCCGUAGCACCCUGGAAUGUUGUAGGUAUAUCAUCUUGUAAAUCAGUUAGUGAAAAAGAGUGGUUUAAGUCUGACUCAGAGAUAGUCUUUCCAGAUGAAUUGACUUCUGCCUAUAAACAAGAUAGACCCAAGAGCAGUGUGACAACAGGAAACAACAGGAAACAUACACAAUCUACAACCUGCUAAAUCCUCUCUGUUGGAUUUAUUUUAAUUGCUAGUUUAAUAUCUAUUAUCAGGCAGUUAAUCACUGAGCACUCUUGUGUCCAACACUGUACUAGGUAUCAUAGGAAGAAGCAUACACAACACCUGUUCUCAAGAAGCCGUUACUUGAUGAGGGACAAAACUAACACCCAUGGUUCACAAUCCACAAUGCUAAAAAGCUCUCAAAACUCAAGGUUUUUUUGGUAAUUUUUAGGCAAAGCCUGAUAUGAGCUGAUGUGAACCUAUGAAUAGUCUUUAUCCCACAUUAGUGUAAACAUUAAUCCCACAUUAAUGUAAUAUUCCCAGAUUUGCUGAAGAAAUCCUAAUGGAUUUGAUUAUGAGGUGCUGCCCCAGAUCGCACGGCAGGUUAGUUAAUAUAUGGUAUAUGUAAGAUCUUUUCUUAAGUCUGAAAAAUUCUCAUGUACAAAACACAUUUGGUCCUGAGAUUUUUCAGAAGCAAUUUUAAGUGUAAUAGGAAUCCUCAGAAGGAAGAAAGUAAACAUGUUCUGAGCAACUCCUCCUCCAGGCACUACAAUAAAAGAGAAGGGAACUGGACCUGGAAAGACAGACAGUCCAUAGAGAAGUGGAGAGGGAAGAGGAAGAGAGCAUGCUGCUUAAUGCAGGUUGACAUUUCUGUUUGUGAAGCUAAUUAAAUUCCAGAAGGAUUAAAUACUUAAUACUUUACGUCUGUAUGUAUGUAUGUAUUUAUUUAUUUAUAUUUUUUUGAGAUGGAGUCUCACUCUGUCA